AACCUGAGGAUCAUCCUCAUAGCUGCCAGGAAACAAUAUGUCCUAGAAGGACCGCUAGGUGACGCUCCCGUCCCAGAGAACCAAGACAUUAUGAAUGCUUGGCAGUCUCGCACUGAUGAUUACUCCCUCGUUCAGUGCGGCAUGCUUUACAGCUUAGAACAGGGGCUCCAAAAGCGUUUUGAGCAUCACGGAGCAUAUGAGAUGUUCGAAGAGCUGAAACUAGUUUUUCAAGCUCAUGCCCGGGUCGAGAGAUAUGAUGUCUCCGACAAGUUCUACAGUUGUAAGAUGGAGGAAAACAGUUCUGUC
rnacentral:rRNA from 1 species